GAUGAACGCUGGCGGCGUGCCUAAUACAUGCAAGUCGAGCGAACGGACGAGAAGCUUGCUUCCCUGAUGUUAGCGGCGGACGGGUGAGUAACACGUGGAUAACCUACCUAUAAGACUGGGAUAACUUCGGGAAACCGUAGCUAAUACCGGAUAAUAUUUUGAACCGCAUGGUUCAAAAGUGAAAGACGGUUUUGCUGUCACUUAUAGAUGGAUCCGCGCUGCAUUAGCUAGUUGGUAAGGUAACGGCUUACCAAGGCAACAAUGCAUAGCCGACCUGAGAGGGUGAUCGGCCACACUGGAACUGAGACACGGUCCAGACUCCUACGGGAGGCAGCAGUAGGGAAUCUUCCGCAAUGGGCGAAAGCCUGACGGAGCAACGCCGCGUGAGUGAUGAAGGUCUUCGGAUCGUAAAGCUCUGUUAUUAGGGAAGAACAUAUGUGUAAGUAACUGUGCACAUCUUGACGGUACCUAAUCAGAAAGCCACGGCUAACUACGUG
rnacentral:rRNA from 1 species